GACGUAGGGGGCGAGCGUUGUCCGGAAUUACUGGGCGUAAAGCGCGUGCAGGCGGCCUGGUAAGUCCCGUGUGAAAGCCUACGGCUCAACUGUAGGAGGUCGCGGGAUACUGCUGGGCUCGAGGGCAGGAGAGGGAAGUAGAAUUCCCGGUGUAGCGGUGAAAUGCGUAGAUAUCGGGAGGAAUGCCAGUGGCGAAGGCGGCUUCCUGGCCUGUCCCUGACGCUGAGACGCGAAAGCUGGGGGAGCGAACGGG
rnacentral:rRNA from 1 species